AAGUUUGGUUGGAAUUGUUGUAAAAUAAGGAAAAUAUAGCCCUGUGAAGUUUGCAAAUUUUGUGUAUAUUUGCAUUACGCGGGGGAAAAAUAACAUUAUUUAGCCCAAAGUGGUUAUUUUUACCGCAAGUAAUACAAAUAUAUACAAAAUUUGCGAACUUCACAGGGCUAUAUUUUCGUCAUUUCACAACAUUUAGCAACCAAUCUU